rnacentral:misc_RNA from 1 species
GCCUUAAAAUGGACUUUUGUUUACUUGCAUAAGAUGGAAUGGGCCUUGAAUUUUUACAAGAAUUUGGUAAAUUACUUUCAAGAAAUCCUGAAGCAAUCCUUAAACUAUCCUAACAAGAAUUAUGGACCACAUAAGUUAAACGAUUUGAAGGUGCCGUAAUCUCAUAUAACCUGCUUUAAUCCAGAAGUCCUCUCUCUAAAUUAC